GACGAACGCUGGCGGCGUGCUUAACACAUGCAAGUCGAACGGUAAGGCCCUUCGGGGUACACGAGUGGCGAACGGGUGAGUAACACGUGGGUGAUCUGCCCUGCACUUCGGGAUAAGACUGGGAAACUGGGUCUAAUACCGGAUAGGACCACUGCCUGCAUGGGUGGUGGUGGAAAGCUUUUGCGGUGUGAGAGAGGCCCGCGGCCUAUCAGCUUGUUGGUGGGGUGAUGGCCUACGAAGGCGACGACGGGUAGCCGGCCUGAGAGGGUGACCGGCCACACUGGGACUGAGAUCCGGCCCAGACUCCUACGGGAGGCAGCAGUGGGGAAUAUUGCACAAUGGGCGCAAGCCUGAUGCAGCGACGCCGCGUGAGGGAUGACGGCCUUCGGGUUGUAAACCUCUUUCAGCACCGACGAAGCGCAAGUGACGGUAGGUGCAGAAGAAGGACCGGCCAACUACGUGCCAGCCGCCGCGGUAA
rnacentral:rRNA from 1 species